GACGUAGGGGACGAGCGUUGUCCGGAUUCAUUGGGCGUAAAGCGCGCGUAGGCGGUUACGCAAGUCGGUUGUGAAAACUGGAGGCUUAACCUCCAGACGUCGACGGAAACCGUGUGGCUAGAGUCCGGAAGAGGAGAGUGGAAUUCCUGGUGUAGCGGUGAAAUGCGCAGAUAUCAGGAGGAACACCAAUGGCGAAGGCAGCUCGCUGGGACGUGACUGACGCUGAGACGCGAAAGCGUGGGGAGCAAACAGG
rnacentral:rRNA from 1 species